rnacentral:rRNA from 1 species
UACGGGGGGGGCAAGCGUUGUUCGGAAUUACUGGGCGUAAAGGGCUCGUAGGCUGCCAACUAAGUCAGACGUGAAAUCCCCGGGCUCAACCCGGGAACUGCGUCCGAUACUGGCAGGCUUGAAUCCGGGAGAGGGAUGCGGAAUUCCAGGUGUAGCGGUGAAAUGCGUAGAUAUCUGGAGGAACACCGGUGGCGAAGGCGGCAUCCUGGACCGGCAUUGACGCUGAGGCGCGAAAGCCAGGGGAGCAAACGGG